CCCACGCAGAGAGCACAUAAAGAUUUUAUUUCUUUGAAGGAAAAAGGAGAAAGAAAUAUGUUUGCUCUAACAUGACGCAGAAAUCAAUGAUGAUGCUGUCUUAACUUGCUGAGCUUGGAGAAAGAGAAACGCUAGUAAAAUUUAAUACUCUGAAUCAUCAAAGGAUAAAUGGAAGAAGACAUCUUUAUAAAUGUUCUCCAUUUCCUCAGCAAAACCAUAAAAGAAGAUAAAUUAGUUAAAAGAAGACCUACAGUAAGAGGGCGGUGUUCUGUGUUGGGAGGCCUGACCGCCAUCAGGAGCAGAAAGGAACCCACCCAUGGGUUGGCUGUGGCCUGAAUCUUGCAAGUUCAAAAUUUAAUCUGAUCUUCAUUCCCAAACUGAUCCAGCUAGAGUAUCUUUUUCUCCCUCUCUCAAACAUCACAAAAGUAUAUUUAAAAUCAAGACAAUCUUUAAAUUUAUAGAAUGAGAACUAAAACAGCCAAGAGAGUGAAAUGAACAAUCACAUUAUCCUUCCCGGCACAUUCUCUUCCCAGAGAUAAGCUUUGCUGCUGCUGUUGCUGCUAAGUCGCUUCAGUCGUGUCCAACUCUGUGCAACCCCAUAGACAGCAGCCCAGCAGGCUCCCCCGUCCCUGGGAUUCUCCAGGCAAGAACGCUGGAGUGGGUUGCCAUUUCCUUCUCCAAUGCAUGAAAGUGAAAAGUGAAAGCAAAGUCGCUCAGUCGUGUCCGACUCCUCGAGACCCCAUGGACUGCAGACCACCAGGCUCCUCCAUCCAUGGGAUUUUCCAGGCAAGAGUACUGGAGUGGGUUGCCAUUGCCUUCUCCGGAGAUAAGCUUUAUGAGAUGCCAAAUUAUGACUGGAACCAGCCAGCUUUUGUAGAGUAUUUGAAAAUCUACCACAUCAGAGUCUGAUAGCCGUGUGCACAACUGGGGAUCGAUUCCUUGAGCCAGCUAAUCAAUUGGUCUUCAUUAUGGAUCAACAUCUCAGUCAGCCUUGAAUAUUCAGAUUUAACUUGCCAGUGUGUGUCUCUCCAUGCUCUCUUUUCCCCAAGACCUCUAUGGCUAACUAAUUUCUAAUUUAUUAAAUUAGCACAAUUAAUUAGGCUAUUGACAAUCCUUGAGGCCAGGGACCCAUUUUUAUUUUUAUUUCUUUUUUAGGUAUCUUGAAAUAGGUUUGUGUUUAGCCAUUCAACAGACAAAGAGUAGCCAUUAAUUUUAUUCAGAUCUAGCCAC
ensembl:lncRNA